rnacentral:rRNA from 1 species
UACGAAUGGAGCGAGCGUUGUUCGGAAUCACUGGGCGUAAAGCGUGCGCAGGCGGUUAUGAAAGUCAGAUGUGAAAGCCCAGGGCUUAACCCUGGAAUUGCAUUUGAAACUCCAUGACUAGAGUACUGGAGGGGUUGGCGGAAUUUCGAGUGUAGCAGUGAAAUGCGUAGAUAUUCGAAGGAACACCGAUGGCGUAGGCAGCCAACUGGACAGUAACUGACGCUCAUGCACGAAAGCGUGGGGAUCAAACAGG